rnacentral:rRNA from 1 species
GUGGGGAAUCUUAGACAAUGGGGGCAACCCUGAUCUAGCCAUGCCGCGUGAGUGAUGAAGGCCUUAGGGUCGUAAAGCUCUUUCGCUGGGGAAGAUAAUGACGGUACCCAGUAAAGAAACCCCGGCUAACUCCGUGCCAGCAGCCGCGGUAAUACGGAGGGGGUUAGCGUUGUUCGGAAUUACUGGGCGUAAAGCGCGCGUAGGCGGAUUGGAAAGUUGGGGGUGAAAUCCCGGGGCUCAACCCUGGAAUGGCCUUCAAAACUCCCAGUCUGGAGGUCGAGAGAGGUGAGUGGAAUUCCGAGUGUAGAGGUGAAAUUCGUAGAUAUUCGGAGGAACACCAGUGGCGAAGGCGGCUCACUGGCUCGAUACUGACGCUGAGGUGCGAAAGCGUGGGGAGCAAACAGGAUUAGAUACCCCUGUAGUCC